AAUUGAAGAGUUUGAUCAUGGCUCAGAUUGAACGCUGGCGGCAGGCCUAACACAUGCAAGUCGAGCGGCAGCGGGAAAGUAGCUUGCUACUUUUGCCGGCGAGCGGCGGACGGGUGAGUAAUGCCUGGGGAUCUGCCCAGUCGAGGGGGAUAACAGUUGGAAACGACUGCUAAUACCGCAUACGCCCUACGGGGGAAAGGAGGGGACCUUCGGGCCUUUCGCGAUUGGAUGAACCCAGGUGGGAUUAGCUAGUUGGUGGGGUAAUGGCUCACCAAGGCGACGAUCCC
rnacentral:rRNA from 1 species